GGCAGGGGCUUGGACCUAGAUGAUCUCUGAAGGUCCCUUCCAACCCAAACCAUUCUGUCAUCUCCAUACAGAUACCCCGUGAGGAUGGUUCUGCCAUUUUGCUUGUCCACAUUCAGGUGCAUCCACAUUGAUGAAGGCUCAGCCUGGGGGCUUGAGCCCUGUUUUGAGAAGUGAUUUAAGGUCUGGAUCUGCAGGAAAAUGUGUCAUGUUUGCACUUGGGAGGAAACAUCAGCUGUGUUUUGUCAGCCUCCUGGGGGCAGCUAGAUGGUUUCCUUUGGAUCAGGAAAGCUGUGGGCAAGGAGAAGAAAGAUGUCUGCAUGGCGAGGGGUGGGAAAGCCGUUUUGUUUCUUGAGGAAGAGCCUGAAGAUGGGCUGAUGGCUGGGGCAGGGUGGAGGACAGAGGGGAUGAGAUGGAGGAGAACCAUGGUGUUGGGCUCUUCCCAUCUCCUGAAAGCUGCAGAGAUGCCCCAAAACGGCAUGUGGAGUUCGAAUGACAAGCAAAGAGCAGCUCCGCCGGGGAGUGCAGCAGGGGGAUGAAGGCGACAGGUUCCUGCAGGCCUGGGGACAAACCCUGCCUGGGAAGUGAGAAACUUGCUCAGACCGAAACGGGAACGGCCAGAGCGUGACUCAGCCUAACCUUUGGUCUCUGGCAGCUUGUCCUCUGCUUAACCCUGUGCUGCUCCUGCUUCUAUUUCGGGCAGGGAGACUGGUCUCUGUCUGGGGAUGAGGAAAGAGGGACCAUCCUUCCCUCCACCGGCUUCAGCUUGGGGACUCCAUCUCACCCUCCAACGGUGGCUCUUUGCGUCUUGUUCCUGUAUAAAAUGGUUCAAAUGUGGUUUGACCACUGACCUCCCCAAGGAAUGGCAUGGGAGCGGGGAGCUGCCGUGCCAAGGGCUCAAGCCCUCGGCAUGCCGAGUGCCUUCUGUGCUUGCAGAAAAGCCCAACACACCAGAAUGGCUUUUCCCACCCUAAACGUCAAGAUAUUUGAUGGGAGGCUUUGGCAAAAGGCGAGCUGCUCUGACCCGAGAUCCCCAUCAAGCCACACUGGAAUCAGCCGCCUCCAGAGCUGCUGACAGGGCUGUGUUGGGAGGCCUUGGGAAUUACACCGCUUGUUUCCUUAUCAUCCCCGGACCCACCGCCUGGAGCCUUCUGCUGCAGGAACAAGGCAAGAAGGGGGCACGCAGCCAACAUGUGUCAAGAGCUACAAAGGAGGAAAUUGGCCUUGUUCACUUAAAAC